rnacentral:rRNA from 1 species
GACGAACCGUCCAAACGUUAUUCGGAAUCACUGGGCUUACAGAGUUCGUAGGCGGUCUGGAAAGUUGGGUGUGAAAUCCCUCGGCUCAACCGAGGAACUGCGCUUGAAACUACCAGACUCGAGGGAGAUAGAGGAAAGCGGAACUGAUGGUGGAGCGGUGAAAUGCGUUGAUAUCACUUGGAACGCCGACGGUGAAAACAGCUCGCUGGGAGUGUGCCGACGCUGAGACACGAAAGCCAGGGGAGCGAACGGG